AAUCUUUUGUAGCAAAGGAAAUACCAUCAAAGAGGCGAAAGAGAGGAGCAAAGAAAGCUGAAGAAAAUGGUGAUGAAGCUGAUAUUCAGGGACAGCCUCAGAAGGAACAUUUAGGAG